GACGAACGCUGGCGGCGUGCUUAACACAUGCAAGUCGAACGGAAAGGCCCUUCUGGGGGUACUUGCGCGGCGAACGGGCGAGUAACACGCGAGUAACCUGCCUUCGCCUUCGGGUUAAAUUCAGGAAACUGGGGCUAACACAGGACAGGAAUCCUCGCCGCAUGGUGGGGGUUGGAAAGCUUCGGCGGUUUUGGAUGGACUCGCGGCUUACCAGUUUGCUGGUGGGGUAGUGGCUUACCAAGGCUUUGACGGGUAGCCGGCCUGCGGGGGCGACCGGCCGCAUUGGGACUGGGAUACGGCCCAGACUCCUACGGGGGGCAACAGUGGGGGAUAUUGCACAAUGGGCGGAAACCUGAAGCAGGAACGCCGGGUGCGGGAUGGCGGCCUUCGGGUUGUAAACCGCUUUCAGCAGGUGCGGAACUUGUAGUGACGGUACCUGCAAAAGAAGCACCGGCUAACUACGUG
rnacentral:rRNA from 1 species